GCAUAUCAAUAAGCGGAGGAAAAGAAACCAACAGGGAUUGCCUCAGUAACGGCGAGUGAAGCGGCAAGAGCUCAAAUUUGAAAGCUGGCCCCCUCGGGGUCCGCAUUGUAAUUUGCAGAGGAUGCUUCGGGAGUGGCCCCCAUCUAAGUGCUCUGGAACGGGCCGUCAUAGAGGGUGAGAAUCCCGUAUGGGAUGGGGUGUCCGCGACCAUGUGAAGCUCCUUCGACGAGUCGAGUUGUUUGGGAAUGCAGCUCUAAAUGGGUGGUAAAUUUCAUCUAAAGCUAAAUAUUGGCCGGAGACCGAUAGCGCACAAGUAGAGUGAUCGAAAGAUGAAAAGCACUUUGAAAAGAGAGUUAAAAAGCACGUGAAAUUGUUGAAAGGGAAGCGCUUGCGACCAGACUCGCCUACGGGGUUCAGCCGGUAUUCGUACCGGUGUACUUCCCCGUGGGCGGGCCAGCGUCGGUUUGGGCGGCCGGUCAAAGGCCCUCGGAAUGUAACGCCUCUCGGGGCGUCUUAUAGCCGAGGGUGCCAUGCGGCCAGCCCGGACCGAGGAACGCGCUUCGGCACGGACGCUGGCAUAAUGGUCGUAAGCGACCCGUCUUGAAACACGGACCAAGGAGUCUAACAUCUACGCGAGUGUUCGGGUGUCAAACCCGUGCGCGCAGUGAAAGCGAACGGAGGUGGGAACCCUCACGGGUGCACCAUCGACCGAUCCUGAUGUCUUCGGAUGGAUUUGAGUAAGAGCGUAGCUGUUGGGACCCGAAAGAUGGUGAACUAUGCCUGAAUAGGGCGAAGCCAGAGGAAACUCUGGUGGAGGCUCGCAGCGGUUCUGACGUGCAAAUCGAUCGUCAAAUUUGGGUAUAGGGGCGAAAGACUAAUCGAACCAUCUAGUAGCUGGUUCCUGCCGA
rnacentral:rRNA from 1 species